GGAAAGCCAAAAGGUUUAUUAUCAAGGAAAUUAGCACUGUGGUUAACUGGAGCUUACUGUCACUGGAGAACUCUGGUGGCCAGUAUAAAACAUAUACCUCAGAGUUAUCCCACUCAAGGGGUGAGGGAGAUGGGGAUUUAUAUACCAACUUCCUUCAUUGGUUGAAGGCAGCUCCUGGGGUCUGCACUCUAGCCUGCUACAUGGGCAGCAAGAUGGGCUCUGGUGGCCAGAAAAAGUCCUACGGCAAAGAAAUGCAGAUACUAGCAGUUGGACCUCCAGCCAGUGUAGUGGAUGGAUUGGUAAAGCUGAAAGCAAAGAACUCUUUAGAUAGUGGAGUCACACUGGAAAAAGCACAGACCCUUGAGUGUACUGCUUGGAGGAGAGCUACCCUGGAGCAUUUGCUCCAGAUUCUGCAUGAGCA
rnacentral:lncRNA from 10 species